GAAGAUGUGUUUUCGAAGUUACUGAGUAUAAUUGGCAGUGACAUUUCCCACCAAGACACCAACUUGAGACAAUUGAUAAAACUGUUAUUGACUGGCAGUCACUUUAAGAUUUUUGGCGACUGGAGAAACAUUCCAAUCUCUGUGUUAUGCAACAAGAAUUGCGUCAAAAAUUAUUCCAGAAAUGCUGCAGGCAAUUCUUAAUAAUUUGGAAUACAAGUGCAUAAAGAUUCCAAACACGGCUAACAAGUGGAAGCAAGUAGCGCACUCGUUCAAUUUGCUGUGGCAAUUCCCCCAUUGCAUAGGGGCAGUUGAUGGUAAAAAGGUAACCUUCCGGGCACUGAGAGCAGCAGGCGCCUACUUCAGAGACAGCAUUGUGCUCCAUUGGUGCCAGUGGUAGAGUUAAUGAUGGGGUAAUUUUUAACCAAAGCAAACUAUCAGAGGCCUUAGAAAGCAAUAACAUGAAUUUGCCUUUUCCUGAGAAAGUGGAGUGUUUCGAUGGACCUGACCUGCCAUAUGUAUUUGUGGCAGAUGAUGCUUUUGCUCUCAAACCAUAUAUGAUGAAACCCUAUCCCGAGAGAGGGUUGUCAAAGGGACAUAAGGUGUUUAAUUAUAGAUUAAGCAGAGCCCGGAGAGUAGUGGAGAAUGCUUACUGCAUAAUGUCAAACAAAUUUGGAGUUCGACUAAACCCAAUUCGUUUAUCUCACAAUCAUCAGAACUUCCUGUGUUCUACACAAUUUUAUUCUGGAGCAACAUCCCAGAUGGUAUGUACCAGGAGACAUACAUAACAUAUCUAUGGACUCAACAAUGGAAGGAAUUCCAAGACAACAUGGAAGGCAUGCAGCUGCAGGUGCAUUGAAAGCCAGAGAUGAUUUCAAGAUGUAUUUCAACUCCAUAAGUACUGUUCCAUGGCAAGAAGAGGCUGUUGAUGCUGGGAGGUGGUGAUGACAGUAGAGCUUUGGACAACAGUACACAUUUAUCUGUCAUUAAGUUUUAUGUAUUUUAUAUAUGUUAUGUAAGAAUUUUUUUUUUUUUUUCCUAUAUCGUCAAAUAUUUCUGUCCUGCAAUUUGUAGUCAACGUCUAUGUACAGAAGUUAGUGUACUUUCCUGUACAUAAUACGCAUAAUAAAUGUUAUUUUGUGGGCACAAGAGCCCAGUUGAGAAAAAUUUUUAGUUUUCCAUAACAAUAAAGACUUACAGCAAUUACUA